GACGAACGCUGGCGGCGUGCUUAACACAUGCAAGUCGAACGGUGAUCUUGAGAGCUUGCUCUUGGGUGAUCAGUGGCGAACGGGUGAGUAACACGUGAGUAACCUGCCCCUGACUCUGGGAUAACUUCGGGAAACCGAAGCUAAUACCGGAUAUGACACAGAAUCGCAUGGUUUCUGUGUGGAAAGUUUUUCGGUUGGGGAUGGACUCGCGGCCUAUCAGCUUGUUGGUGAGGUAAUGGCUCACCAAGGCGACGACGGGUAGCCGGCCUGAGAGGGCGACCGGCCACACUGGGACGGGGACACGGCACAGACUCCUACUGGAGGCAGCAGUGGGAAAUAUUGCACAAUGGGCGGAAGCCGGAUGCUGCGACGCCGCGUGAGUGAUGAAGGCCUUCGGGUUGUAAACCUCUUUCAGUAGGGAAGAAGCGCAAGUGACGGUACCUACAGAAGAAGCACCGGCUAACUACGUGCCAGCCGCCGCCGUAACAC
rnacentral:rRNA from 1 species